GACGAACGCUGGCGGCGUGCCUAAUACAUGCAAGUCGAGCGAACGGACGAGAAGCUUGCUUCUCUGAUGUUAGCGGCGGACGGGUGAGUAACACGUGGAUAACCUACCUAUAAGACUGGGAUAACUUCGGGAAACCGGAGCUAAUACCGGAUAAUAUUUUGAACCGCAUGGUUCAAAAGUGAAAGACGGUCUUGCUGUCACUUAUAGAUGGAUCCGCGCUGCAUUAGCUAGUUGGUAAGGUAACGGCUUACCAAGGCAACGAUGCAUAGCCGACCUGAGAGGGUGAUCGGCCACACUGGAACUGAGACACGGUCCAGACUCCUACGGGAGGCAGCAGUAGGGAAUCUUCCGCAAUGGGCGAAAGCCUGACGGAGCAACGCCGCGUGAGUGAUGAAGGUCUUCGGAUCGUAAAACUCUGUUAUUAGGGAAGAACAUAUGUGUAAGUAACUGUGCACAUCUUGACGGUACCUAAUCAGAAAGCCACGGCUAACUACGUGCCAGCAGCCGCGGUAAUACGUAGGUGGCAAGCGUUAUCCGGAAUUAUUGGGCGUAAAGCGCGCGUAGGCGGUUUUUUAAGUCUGAUGUGAAAGCCCACGGCUCAACCGUGGAGGGUCAUUGGAAACUGGAAAACUUGAGUGCAGGAGAGGAAAGUGGAAUUCCAUGUGUAGCGGUGAAAUGCGCAGAGAUAUGGAGGAACACCAGUGGCGAAGGCGACUUUCUGGUCUGUAACUGACGCUGAUGUGCGAAAGCGUGGGGAUCAAACAGGAUUAGAUACCCUGGUAGUCCACGCCGUAAACGAUGAGUGCUAAGUGUUAGGGGGUUUCCGCCCCUUAGUGCUGCAGCUAACGCAUUAAGCACUCCGCCUGGGGAGUACGACCGCAAGGUUGAAACUCAAAGGAAUUGACGGGGACCCGCACAAGCGGUGGAGCAUGUGGUUUAAUUCGAAGCAACGCGAAGAACCUUACCAAAUCUUGACAUCCUUUGACAACUCUAGAGAUAGAGCUUUCCCCUUCGGGGGACAAAGUGACAGGUGGUGCAUGGUUGUCGUCAGCUCGUGUCGUGAGAUGUUGGGUUAAGUCCCGCAACGAGCGCAACCCUUAAGCUUAGUUGCCAUCAUUAAGUUGGGCACUCUAAGUUGACUGCCGGUGACAAACCGGAGGAAGGUGGGGAUGACGUCAAAUCAUCAUGCCCCUUAUGAUUUGGGCUACACACGUGCUACAAUGGACAAUACAAAGGGCAGCGAAACCGCGAGGUCAAGCAAAUCCCAUAAAGUUGUUCUCAGUUCGGAUUGUAGUCUGCAACUCGACUACAUGAAGCUGGAAUCGCUAGUAAUCGUAGAUCAGCAUGCUACGGUGAAUACGUUCCCGAGUCU
rnacentral:rRNA from 1 species